CAAACCCUACUGUCGAUGAAAAGUGCAGGAAGCAUCCAAAUAAAGAAAGAUAUGCCUUUGUGAAGAAGAGCAGACUAAACAAAAAGAUUUCUUAUGAUUUGGCCACCCCUAUGGAAGUCGUUCCAGAUGAGAACCUUUCAGUUGAAAAGUAGUUACCAGCUAUGGCUAAACAACCUGCAUUAGUAGUCGUAGAAACAAUACCGACACUACCAACAAUGGUGAAAUUGACGCCGAUGGAUGAUGUUCAGGAUCCGAAUACCUCAAAUGAGUCAGAAUUGAACAUUACAACUGAAGAAACCGUUAAUGAAAAUGCAG